GAUAUAGAGGGAGCAGGAGCUCGUCCACCAUUCCAACUAGGACCACCACCAGUGAUGACAUUGACAAAAAUCGAUGACAUCCUGUCCUCCACCGAAGCCAAUAAGUCACCAAUGGCUGAAAGAGAUCAACAACUGUUCUGUGGAUUCACAUUUGCCAAUGAGAACUGGCAGGUCGUAAAGCCAAUUAAAGAACCUUUCAUACGACCACGCAGAACGUUUGGCAGAUUUGUGAGAGAGACCAUCCGCAGGAUCUGGAGGAAGAUGAAAAACUGGAAGUAA